rnacentral:rRNA from 1 species
UACGUAGGGCCAAGCGUUGUCCGGAUUUAUUGGGCGUAAAGAGCUCGUAGGCGGUUGGGUAAGUCGGGUGUGAAAACUCCAGGCUACAACUUGGAGAUGCCAACCCGAUACUGCUCUGACUUGAGUUCGGUAGGGGAGUGGGAAUUCCGUGGUGGUAGCGGUGAAAUGCGCAGAUAUCAGGAGGAACACCGGUGGCGAAGGCGGGUCUCUGGGCCGUAACUGACGCUGAGGAGCGAAAGCAUGGGGAGCGAACAGG